UAGGGAAUCUUCGGCAAUGGACGAAAGUCUGACCGAGCAACGCCGCGUGAGUGAAGAAGGUUUUCGGAUCGUAAAACUCUGUUGUUAGAGAAGAACAAGGACGUUAGUAACUGAACGUCCCCUGACGGUAUCUAACCAGAAAGCCACGGCUAACUACGUGCCAGCAGCCGCGGUAAUACGUAGGUGGCAAGCGUUGUCCGGAUUUAUUGGGCGUAAAGCGAGCGCAGGCGGUUUCUUAAGUCUGAUGUGAAAGCCCCCGGAUCAACCGGGGAGGGUCAUUGGAAACUGGGAGACUUGAGUGCAGAAGAGGAGAGUAGAAUUCCAUGUGUAGCGGUGAAAUGCGUAGAUAUAAGGAGGAACACCAGUGGCGAAGGCGGCUCUCUGGUCUGUAACUGACGCUGAGGCUAGAAAGCGUGGGGAGCGAACAGG
rnacentral:rRNA from 1 species